UCCACGUGUGCUGUGGGAGGGCAGGGCUGCCAGCAACCCACAGCCCCCGGCCCCUGCCCCGCUCCGAGGGAAGGCUCAGCCGGGUGUAAACAUUUAGAAAUACCCGUGCGAUAAAAAUAGCUCUGUCUGUACGCGCGACUGCUCCGCUGCCACCUGCGAUGUUUGCUCUGUGCCCCAAGGAUCUCUCACCAUGGAACAGCCACAAACCAGGGAGCACUCCAGGGAGGAGCAGCUCCCCAAAACCCUCGGGGGCCAAGGCAGCAGAUCCUGGACACCUGCCGGGGAGGAGGAGCAGGAGGGAACUGCCUGAUCCCCAGGGAAAGUGCAGUGAUUGAAACAAUGUAGAAAUUCAACUUGCAAAACUGAAUUUGUAUCACAACGUCUCUCAGAAGGCAAUGCAGAUGUGUUGCUUUGAAUCACAAAAUAUUCCUCUGGACACCAAAAAUUACAAACUUCCAGCACUAUACACGGGGCUUUCUUUAGAGAUUGAUU